CCGUGCUAGAUGGGGAAUUAGCGGUGCCCUGUAACCUGCAAUCCGCUACAGCAGGGUCGAUGCUAUUGCUAGGCGAUUAGCGCUUUAUUAGCUUGUUUUAGAAAGUGUUGAAUCUUUGUACUGUUGCAAUAGUUAGUUGAUGAAAUCCGUCAGGCCUGGAAAGGAGCAGCGGUAAGUCCUACUAACUAUGUGCUGAUAUGUCUUCGAAGAUGAGCUGGCUAAAAUAAUCCUAAUAGAAAACGGAAUCGUCGAACAAAAGUGCACGG
rnacentral:SRP_RNA from 1 species